rnacentral:rRNA from 1 species
UACGUAGGGGGCAAGCGUUGUCCGGAAUCAUUGGGCGUAAAGAGCGUGUAGGCGGCUUGAUAAGUCCGCUGUGAAAGUCCAGGGCUCAACCCUGGAAUGCCGGUGGAAACUGUCCAAGCUUGAGUCCGGAAGAGGCGAGUGGAAUUCCUGGUGUAGCGGUGAAAUGCGCAGAUAUCAGGAGGAACACCAAUGGCGAAGGCAGCUCGCUGGGACGGUACUGACGCUGGAGACGCGAAAGCGUGGGGAGCAAACAGG